rnacentral:rRNA from 1 species
UACGUAGGUGGCAAGCGUUGUCCGGAUUUACUGGGCGUAAAGAGCGCGCAGGCGGUCGUUCAAGUCGCGUGUGAAAGCCCCCCGGCUCAACUGGGGAGGGUCACGCGAUACUGAUCGACUCGAAGGCAGGAGAGGGUAGUGGAAUUCCCGGUGUAGUGGUGAAAUGCGUAGAUAUCGGGAGGAACACCAGCGGCGAAGGCGGCGUCCUGGACUGGUACUGGACGCUCAGGAGCGAAAGCGUGGGGAGCGAACAGG